AGUGAACGCUGGCGGUAUGCCUAACACAUGCAAGUCGAACGGCAGCACAGUAAGAGCUUGCUCUUACGGGUGGCGAGUGGCGGACGGGUGAGGAAUACAUCGGAAUCUACUUUUUCGUGGGGGAUAACGUAGGGAAACUUACGCUAAUACCGCAUACGACCUACGGGUGAAAGCAGGGGAUCUUCGGACCUUGCGCGAUUGAAUGAGCCGAUGUCGGAUUAGCUAGUUGGCGGGGUAAAGGCCCACCAAGGCGACGAGCCGUAGCUGGUCUGAGGGGAUGAUCAGCCACGCUGGACCUGAGACACGGUCCAGACUCCUACGGGAGGCAGCAGUGGGGAAGAUUGGACAAUGGGCGCAAGCCUGAGCCAGCCAUACCGCGUGGGUGAAGAAGGCCUUCGGGUUGUAAAGCCCUUUUGUUGGGAAAGAAAAGCAGCAGGUUAAUACCCCGCUGUUCUGACGGUACCCAAAGAAUAAGCACCGGCUAACUUCGU
rnacentral:rRNA from 1 species